UACGGAGGGUGCAAGCAUUAAUCGGAUUUAUUGGGCGUAAAGGGCGCGUAGGCGGAAAUGUAAGUCAGAUGUGAAAUCCCAGAGCUCAACUCUGGAACAGCAUUUGAAACUACAUUCCUUGAGGGUAGGCGGAGAAAAUGGAAUUCCACAUGUAGCGGUGAAAUGCGUAGAUAUGUGGCAGAACAUCAGUGGCGAAGGCGAUUUUCUAGCUUAUUCCUGACGCUGAGGCGCGAAAGUAAGGGGAUCAAACAGG
rnacentral:rRNA from 1 species